AUUGAACGCUGGCGGCAUGCCUUACACAUGCAAGUCGAACGGCAGCGCGGACUUCGGUCUGGCGGCGAGUGGCGAACGGGUGAGUAAUGUAUCGGAACGUACCAUUCAGUGGGGGAUAACGCAGCGAAAGUUGCGCUAAUACCGCAUAUUCUGUGCGCAGGAAAGCAGGGGAUCGCAAGACCUUGCGCUGAUUGAGCGGCCGAUAUCAGAUUAGCUAGUUGGUGGGGUAAAGGCUCACCAAGGCCACGAUCUGUAGCGGGUCUGAGAGGAUGAUCCGACACACUGGAACUGAGACACGGUCCAGAGUCCUACGGGAGGCAGCAGUGGGGGAUUUUGGACAAUGGGCGCAAGCCUGAUCCAGCCAUGCCGCGUGAGUGAAGAAGGCCUUCGGGUUGUAAAGCUCUUUCGGCCGGGAAGAAAUCGUAUGGGUUAAUACCCUGUGCGGAUGACGGUACCGGCAUAAGAAGCACCGGCUAACUACGUGCCAGCCGCCGCAGUAAGAC
rnacentral:rRNA from 1 species